UGAUUUAUUAAUUUAGUCAAAGUCAAAUAUUAAUUUCAACCAUACAUACAUAACUAUUACUCAUUUAUUAUCCACACAUUUCGAGGAACACACUACUAUUCCUCUCUAUGAUGGUUCAUAAAUUUGCCAAAAGGAGGCUAAGUGAUCAAAUAGGCCUGGAUCAUUUUCCCAUAAAGACGAUAAAAAUGACUUUAAACCCAAAGCAAUGCUGAUAACCACAAUGAUUUUUGAAAGAUUUUAGCAUUCUUAGCGAUCCAUGUGCACCAUCAUAGCACAGCUCCACAUUAUUUUUGCUUCUUUACUAGUGCUACUAUCUGAAAUCUUACAAUUAAAUAAAUCAACCAAAGCUGUUUCUGGACAAUGGACUCUUUGAAGUCUAGAAUCAAUCUCAAACAUGAUUUUUCUAGUGAAAUCAUAAUGUAAGAAAAGAUGAGGUCCUGUUACGUCACCUACAUAUGAAUUAAAUGACAAAGCUCAUGGGAGCUAUGCUUUUAUGACCAAUCACUACUUGAUUUUCAUUUGGAUCAAAGUUCAUGAAGUGGCUUCAUCUUUUAUAGGAUUUGCAAUUUUUGAAUGUAAAACAUCAACCGAGUAAUAGGUGUAUAUUAUUAUACUAUUAAUACUUCUUGUUUUAAUAUUAUGUCUUGCAAUACUGGUUUAGUUAUAGUAUACACUUUUAUGGAUUAAAAAGUUCUAGAUAUCUUCUAUGGAUUUAAAAGUGAUUGUUGGGUUGAAAGCAAAAGGUGAACUAGAAAGUUGAAGUGAACGUUGAGUUUUCUUGUUUGGUUGAAGUGAACACAAAGUGACAGGAAAAUGAAUUCAGUUUGUAGUUCAAGUACUAUAUGGCCAAAGUUUAACCUGCGUAUCAUUUUGAACAAUUAUUCAAAAAUUUGUUUCCGCAAACCAGAGGGACGAAAGUUUCUCUCUGGAAGGAAUGAAAUUGGAGUUUCCACCAACUUUACCCUUGUACCAAACAUAUUGUUUUUGAUAUGGUUUGUAAACCAUGUGUAGUAAAACCAAGCAUAGCGUUAUGAUAUAUUUUGUACAUCAUCUGUAGUAGACUAGAGUUCUCACUUAAACAAAUCUUGCAAGGGAUAUAAUAUUGCUGAAGUAAUGUUAAGAGGGAACAUGUUUUUUCUAGUAAAAUCUUUUAAGUCUAUACUUGCCUUCAUAUGCAUCCUUUUGCUGGUGGCUGGAAGGGUGGUAAUUUCGUUUUUGUUCUCUCCUUUUUGAGUUUGAAGUUUUGACCUCUGGCUAUGGUUCUUGUGUUUUCUUUCGUUUUUCUUCUCUAACGGCUAUGUAACAUGGACACUGUAACUAGGAUAGCGUGUCCGUGUCGGACAAGUGUCGAUACUGACACUCUUCGAACAUUCUACAAUAAUUAUUUUCCUUUCUUAUUAUAGCUAUUAUAUAUUUUUGACUCAAAUUUUUUAAUAAAUAACAAAUAAGUACUCAUAUUUAAAAGAUUUCAAUAAAAGAGAAUCAAUAAUAAGUGUAAAACUAAAUUUAAAUCAUAUAAAUGAAGAAUUUUAAAGAAUUUAAUGAACAUGUAGAUGAUGUGUCGUAUCAAUACUUUUUUGAAAAAUCACGAGUCGACAUAUCCAACACGUAUCGUGUCGGACACACGUGUCUGUGUUUGUGCAUCAUAGUCUGAUGGUGUUCAAAUGUAUAUAUUUUUUCUACCGUGUUGGUGCAUCAUAUUCUGAUGGUGUUCACAUGUAUAUAUUUUUUCUUUUCUAUUUUGCAUAGACUAUAGACGUUGAAUACUGUUGCUAUGGUUCCAAAUUGUUUUGGGUUUCCCAAAAAUACCUUAGAAGGGUUUUCAAAACGAUAAUAAUUGAUGGUUUAUGCAGCCCAAAACAGUGAAUGCGUUUCAAAGGGUGAAAGUUGAUGAUGUGAAAUAUGUUGAUGAGAGGCUUCAAGAUAACUCUUAUUGGGCACUGGUUUGUUUCUUAUCCUUUUUAUUUUCGCAUGCUCUGGUGAAUGUAUGAAUAUUUAUUUGUGUACAUGUGACACCGAAUAUUUUAUGCACAGACAAUAAAUGUUUCCAUAAAGCAUUCUUUACCAUGUUCUCUUGUGUUUUAACAUUUAAGGUGCAUUCGAUUGUCAAUAUGUUUCAUGAAAAAUUUGUUUUUCCAUUCAAAUAUCUACUUUUUUGUUGUUUGAUUGACUUUUUUCUAUAGAAAACAAUCUUUUUAGGGGAAGUAAGAUUUUGUUUCCAAGGAAUCCACUCUCUCUUAUUUAUCCCUUCUCUUUUAUCCACUCAUCAAUAAAAAAUGGACAAGUAUAAUUAUCUAGAUUGAAAAUUAAAUCAAUCAAAC
rnacentral:lncRNA from 1 species